CAUAGGGAGGCCGUGGAACUUGUUGCUCUGAACCAUGGCAUUGAGACCGCUCUUGAUCUCAAAGUUGUUGUUCUGCACUGGUGGAGGCACGAUGCCAUUACGCUGAUUGUGGUUGCGUGGUGCAUCGCCUGCACCUAUGUUGUUUGGUUGCACUUGCUCAUCUACAACUGCAGCCGUUUUGUCUGUUUCUGUCUGUGUUCUGAGUUGGCGUGCAAUACGAUCGAUGUUAUCGUUGAACAGGAGAUUCUGAUUUCCUUGUGAUCGUCUUUGCAUACAACGAGUACCAACUGGUGAAGCUGGUGAUUCGCAGUACCUGAAUCAAAACAGACAAACAGAAAAAACAAAGUUAUUAACUUUCAGAAAAAAUGAAAAAGAACUUGAUCUUAAAUAUUCUGAAAUCUCAAAUAUAGCAAACAAACACCCAAUUGGCAACGGCGCCAAAUUGAUAAUAGGUUUUAGUUCAAGUAAUCCUAAACCACUAUCAUGUCGUUGUAGUACUUAGGGUGUCAAUCCAAAUGGGUGUGAUGCAAACAGAUGAGAUGUGAUCAGAAGUCACUAAGUCAAGCCAAGCAAUAACAGUUUUGGGGUUUCUAACAGUCUACGCGAACAUGCAGAAAACAGAAAUAAUAACAGAAUUACUAAAGUCACUCGACCACAACAGGCUGAUGCCAGAAGUAGGAUGUGGUCGAGUAACAGGUCGAGUAACAGACAGGAUAUGAAACAGAUAUACUCGACUGCACAGUCUUUUGCCAGACACUGGGUGUGGUUAAGUAAGUUGAUCGAGUAAUUGCAAAAACGAAGAAACAAGCAAUGAGAACGAUUUAGCGAUAACGAUAAAACAGAGAAAUCAGAUAGACGAGAAAUUCCUAAGGAUGGGGUAAUCGAAUAGAGUGGUAUCCUAGCCUAUUCGAAUGGUUAACAAGCGCAAUCAAGCUAUCCCUAGACAACAGGUUCAACAACAGAUCAAUUCACUCCCUUGAUAGAAAUCCUCAAGCAAAGCUAGCCCAAACUAAUUUCCAUUAACGGAAUCUAACUAUGCAGGCAAUAAGAACAGACUGAUAAAGUCAAUAAAUGCUCUAAACGGCCAAUCCCUUGGGAUAGAGAUGAAUAUCUCAGGAACUAGUGGAUCAAGCAUUCCAUCGAACACCUUCUGGGUGCAGGAAUGCUUUGGAUCGAAUUCCAGUUGAUCAGAAAGAAAUAAGCAGUAAACACAACUAGUCCUAAAGGGGUUCAAUCAAUUCUAAACUUAACCAUUCUACAGACUACGGAUUCCACAACUACUCUAUCCAAUCCUUAAGAACUCUAUGUCACUACUCAGACAACACGCUCAAAGACAUAAACGCAGAUAAAUGAUAAUAUUGCAUAAGUAAAGAGAUAAAGAGUAGAGAAACAAGAUGACAGAUGAAAUCAAAUGCGGAAUCUAAAUAACUUGGAAAAAUCUCGAAUUACAGGUUGUAGAAGCAAAAGCGGCGCAGCAGAGUAAAACAGAAAAUAAAACUGAAGCAAAAACUCAAUGUCGACUGGAUGUCUCAGGACAGAAUCCUAAGACAUCUAUUUAUACAAAACGAAAUAAAAUGAUAGUAAACGAAAUAAAAUGAUAAUGGGCCGAGAUGGGCUUCGUGAUCCGAUGGAGGUCCAGGCCGCUUCCAAACACUUCGUCUUCUCCUUUUCUCUUCCUUGUGCCCAGCUUGUCUGGUUGAGUGCGGAUUUGAGUAGACUAUGAAGUUGUGAUCCAGUGUCUGGUCGAGUGAUGGUGUUGGUGGUGAGUGACGAUACUCGACUAGGGGGUCGAGUAAGGUGGUAGAGUG
rnacentral:sRNA from 1 species